UACAGAGGUCUCAAGCGUUGUUCGGAUUCAUUGGGCGUAAAGGGUGCGUAGGUGGCGCGCUAAGUCAGGUGUGAAAUUUCGGAGCUUAACUCCGAAACUGCAUUUGAUACUGGCGUGCUUGAGGGCUGGAGAGGAGACUGGAAUUCAUGGUGUAGCAGUGAAAUGCGUAGAGAUCAUGAGGAAGACCAGUGGCGAAGGCGGGUCUCUGGACAGUUCCUGACACUGAGGCACGAAGGCCAGGGGAGCAAACGGG
rnacentral:rRNA from 1 species